GACGAACGCUGGCGGCGUGCUUAACACAUGCAAGUCGAGCGGUAAGGCCCUUUCGGGGGUACACGAGCGGCGAACGGGUGAGUAACACGUGGGUGACCUGCCCUCAGCUCUGGGAUAAGCCCGGGAAACUGGGUCUAAUACCGGAUAUGACUCCAUGACGCAUGUUGUGGGGUGGAAAGCCUUGUGCGGCUGAGGAUGGGCCCGCGGCCUAUCAGCUUGUUGGUGGGGUGAUGGCCACCAAGGCGACGACGGGUAGCCGGCCUGAGAGGGCGACCGGCCACACUGGGACUGAGAUACGGCCCAGACUCCUACGGGAGGCAGCAGUGGGGAAUCUUGCGCAAUGGGCGAAAGCCUGACGCAGCGACGCCGCGUGGGGAUGACGGCCUCGGUUGUAA
rnacentral:rRNA from 1 species